AUGCGGACAAUGAUGAAGGAGAAGAAACUUAUAGAAGGGGAGCAUGCUAUUGAUGAGUUAGACAAAGCGAAUCUUAUUGACCAAUCAAUUGCUGAUAAUAAUGCUAGGGAGGUCUAUGUUGGCUCUAAUUACCAUAUUGCUGCUCUCUCUGAUGUUGUUCAUGAAAUUUUUAUUCUGGAUUAUGUGAAUAAGAGUCCUGACAAAGCUACUGUACUAGAGAUAGGAGAUGAUGUGUGUACACCUGCUGUUGAUCUGGGUGGAAUUGGUGAGUGUUCUAAGUCUAAGAACCUAGACUAUCGCUCUCGGCUGUUAAAAUCUGUGGAUAUGGAAGGGCAUGUACAAUGGUUGAUAAGAUAG
rnacentral:rRNA from 1 species